UGACAAUGGCUGACAGGCCUGACUUGCUACAGUCUACACUAAGUGAGAACAUUGUGGAAAAUGGUGAGAAGAGAAGAGAGGAGAAGAGAAUUAAGGCCAUACGUUCCUACACGACUGGCCCAGAGCAGCCAACAAAACACCUGGUAAUGAAAUGAAAAAAUUACAAACGAGAUGGGGUUAAAAUAUUGAGAAAUUAGCAUCACGGACAAGUCCGUUUGGAAGAAAGGUGGAGGGGAACAGAGCAUGAGAUGCAGAAACUCACCCAGAAGGUACGCAAAAAGACCCUCUGGGGGUUAUAGGAACCCCUUCCGAAAGCAUUUAGGAGCUUUUAGUAAAAAUUUUGGAGAGCUGGAGUGGCUUUCUGGCCGUUUCAGCAGGUCAGCCGGCGACGCUGUGAACAGACAGGCGUAAUUUAGGGGCCCCCGCAGCUGAGAGUUUCACCGCCUGACGUUUUAUUUAUUCUGGGAAUUACUGAACCUCACAUCCUGCUCUCUGGAAUUGUCUUCUGGCUCGUUCACAUUAACAGGCACAGUUAGACAGGUGCCCUCUAAUUAAGUCUGUCUUUAAGCCAGUGCUGAGGAUACAGCAGCUGGCGCACAGUGUUUUCCAGCUGGAUUUUAUGAUGGAAAUGGAACAGCCUGGACUCCUGGAAGGUAAGGGCUCUGCAGUAUUUGUAAACCACAGGCAAAA